rnacentral:pre_miRNA from 1 species
UUCCCCGAAUGCAUGACUCUGCAACCUCAGGACUUGCAGAGCUCGUGGAAUGCCGUCCUGAGGUUGUUGAGUUGUGCGUUUCUGGGC